rnacentral:rRNA from 1 species
AUUGAACGCUGGCGGCAGGCCUAACACAUGCAAGUCGAGCGAGCGGCGGACGGGUGAGUAAUGUAUGGGGACUGCCCGAUAGAGGGGGAUAACUACUGGAAACGGUGGCUAAUACCGCAUACUAUCGGAUAACCCAUAUGGGAUUAGCUAGUAGGUGGGGUAAAGGCUCACCUAGGCGACGAUCUCUAGCUGGUCUGAGAGGAUGAUCAUCCAUACGGGGACUGAGACCCGGCCCAGACUGCUACGGAGGCAGCAGUGGGGAAUAUUGCGAAAUUGGGGCAAGCCUGGUGGAGCCAUGCAGCGUGUAUGAAGAAGGCCUUAGGGUUGUAAAGUACUUUCAGCGGGGAGGCGUGACCCGCUGAAGAAGCACCGGCUAACUCCGUGCCAGCAGCCGCGGUAAUUC